CGUACUGAAAUCGGAACGAGACAGGGAACGAGACAGAGACGAUUAGCAUGGCCCCUGCACAAGGAUGACACGCAGAUUCGUGAAGAUGUUAAGUGCUGACUUUUU
ensembl:snRNA U6 U6 spliceosomal RNA